UAUAGAGAUUUCAGAGGGAGGACUCUUACCAACUUAGCAGCCGCCGCAAACGUCUGACAUAGAACAGGACGUGGUUUUGAACUCAACAAGACUCUUUGGUCAGGGUUUUUCCAGUUUAAUUCAUCUGUAUUCACUCCGAUGAUCUUGACAGAUUUCAGCUUGCUUUGGGGCUGUUCCCCAAGGCCGUCUCCUCACUGAAAGACGCAGCUUUUUCAAACCAGAAGUGGCCGGCCCGAAGGAGUCAAGGGUUCCCGCAGCCCAUCGCUGCCCCAUCCUUCUCGGCCACGCUGCCAGGCCCGCUACUCGGGAACAUUUCAGGACUGCCUGUUCCAAAGCGGAGAAGCCCCUCCGUGGGAAAACUUUCAAGGACUGACAACACGCCUCUCGAACCUGAGACUCCGGCUAGAUUUCCCACCGGGCUCUCCUCCUCCCUUUGAAGAGAUAAACCCUGUAACUUUUACGUUGUAAAAGAAAAGGGGGAGGCAGGAACACAGAGAUGAUCGGCCUUGGGAAAGCAACAGCGGAUGUCCCGAACCCAUCGCCAGGAGGGUCAGUGCCGGGGAAGGGGGGGAUUCUGGGAAGCACCAUCCAGAAAAGUAAUUUUUCCAAGCUCCGGUGGCCGCUUCUCCUCCGUCCGGCCCUCUCGGAGAGUCCAUGCCCUCCUAGUCCCGACUGCCUCUAACUUUGGGUACCAACAGGGAGCCAUCAGCCCCGCCUGGGUUCGGUCCUAACACAACCAAAGCCAAUUUACCUUCACGGCCAAUAAACCGCUUCCUCCCUUGAUGAUGUGUUUCUUUUCAAAGGGAUCCA